rnacentral:rRNA from 1 species
GAUGAACGCUAGCGGCAGGCCUAACACAUGCAAGUCGAGGGGUAGAACACUUCGGGCCUUGAGACCGGCGCACGGGUGCGUAACGCGUAUGCAAUCUGCCUUGUACUGGGGGAUAGCCCAGAGAAAUUUGGAUUAAUACCCCAUAGUAUUUUCGGUUGGCAUCAACUGAUUAUUAAAGUUUUUCGGUACAAGAUGAGCAUGCGUCCCAUUAGCUAGUUGGUAUGGUAACGGCAUACCAAGGCUACGAUGGGUAGGGGUCCUGAGAGGGAGAUCCCCCACACUGGAACUGAGACACGGACCAGACUCCUACGGGAGGCAGCAGUGAGGAAUAUUGGUCAAUGGUCGCAAGACUGAACCAGCCAUGCCGCGUGCAGGAUGAAGCAUCUAUGGUGUGUAAACUGCUUUUGUACGGGAAGAAACACUCCUACGUGUAGGGGCUUGACGGUACCGUAAGAAUAAGGAUCGGCUAACUCCGUGCCAGCCGCCGCAGUAACAC